rnacentral:tRNA from 1 species
GUGGCUCAGCAGUAGAGCACUUGCCUAGCGUGCAUGAGGCCCUGGGUUCAAUCCCCAGC